rnacentral:rRNA from 1 species
UAGGGAAUCUUCCACAAUGGGCGGAAGCCUGAUGGAGCAACGCCGCGUGUGUGAUGAAGGGUUUCGGCUCGUAAAACACUGUUGUAAGAGAAGAAUGACAUUGAGAGUAACUGUUCAAUGUGUGACGGUAUCUUACCAGAAAGGAACGGCUAAAAUACGUGCCAC